rnacentral:rRNA from 1 species
AAUGAACGCUGGCGGCAUGCCUAACACAUGCAAGUCGAACGAAGGCUUCGGCCUUAGUGGCGCACGGGUGCGUAACGCGUGGGAAUCUGCCCCUUGGUUCGGAAUAACAGUUGGAAACGACUGCUAAUACCGGAUGAUGACGUAAGUCCAAAGAUUUAUCGCCGAGGGAUGAGCCCGCGUAGGAUUAGGUAGUUGGUGUGGUAAAGGCGCACCAAGCCGACGAUCCUUAGCUGGUCUGAGAGGAUGAUCAGCCACACUGGGACUGAGACACGGCCCAGACUCCUACGGGAGGCAGCAGUGGGGAAUAUUGGACAAUGGGCGAAAGCCUGAUCCAGCAAUGCCGCGUGAGUGAUGAAGGCCUUAGGGUUGUAAAGCUCUUUUACCCGGGAUGAUAAUGACAGUACCGGGAGAAUAAGCUCCGGCUAACUCCGUGCCAGCCGCCGCGGUAAAAGGG